UACGGGAGGCAGCAGUGGGGAAUAUUGCACAAUGGGCGCAAGCCUGAUGCAGCCAUGCCGCGUGUAUGAAGAAGGCCUUCGGGUUGUAAAGUACUUUCAGUCGUGAGGAAGGUGUUAAGGUUAAUAACCUUAGCAAUUGACGUUAGCGACAGAAGAAGCACCGGCUAACUCCGUGCCAGCAGCCGCGGUAAUACGGAGGGUGCGAGCGUUAAUCGGAAUUACUGGGCGUAAAGGGCACGCAGGCGGUUAAUUAAGUUGGAUGUGAAAUCCCCGGGCUUAACCUGGGAAUGGCAUUCAAGACUGGUUAGCUAGAGUCUUGUAGAGGGGGUAGAAUUCCAUGUGUAGCGGUGAAAUGCGUAGAGAUGUGGAGGAAUACCGGUGGCGAAGGCGGCCCCUGGACAAAGACUGACGCUCAUGUGCGAAAGCGUGGGGAGCAAACAGGGAUUAGAUUA
rnacentral:rRNA from 1 species